rnacentral:sRNA from 12 species
CCUUUGGAGUGUUAUAUCAAACGAAAGUAGCUGUGUUAUAUUUGCUAAAUCGGACACGUCGAAAAAGGAA